AUAGUACUCCCGCCGUCUGGAAAUAAUUGUCCUAAAAAUGGAUAAAACGAAUGUAUCUAUUAUUAAAAUGAGUCUAGAUACAACCAUUUUGUAAGACAAGUAUUUUCGGACGGAGGGAGUAGUAG
rfam:Triticum aestivum genome assembly, contig: Triticum_aestivum_CS42_TGACv1_scaffold_423456_5BS